UUGAUUUUGAUUUGGGUGGGCAGGCUGGUUGUUGGAAAAUUCCUUUUUUGUGGCUUGCCUGAUUUCACAUAUUUUGCAUCUUAGUCAGAGUUUUAAGUUAAGUUUGGACAAGCAUUUAUUCAUAGAAUAUCUGACUUCGUUUGCCGUCUCAAUGCGCACAAAAUUCUUCAUGGUCACAUUGCUAAAAACAUUUCAUUAACUGUGGGUUAAAAUUAGGGGAAAUACAAUCAAGUAUCUUAGAGUUCCAGAUGAGGUAUCCUUAAUCACCGUUUGUCAAUUGGCAUUGAUUUUUUCUAUAUGUGGCUGACUUUAGUAGAUAUCCAUGAGUGCUACCCAUCAUGUUAGAUUUUAUUAACAUGCUAUCAUCUUAAAGUUCUUAGGUUUCAGUUUACUAAAUUUUCCUGUUUAUGCGGUCUCCUUACAGUGUGAAAGAAGUUUAAGAUGGUCUAUUACAGUCUGCUCCUCGUGAAUAACAGUGAGAUGUCUGAACGGGAUUGACUAACACACUAAAUAGAUUGAGAUAGACGUGACGGCUAGACGACAUAGGAAUUCCUUUUUGAGCCCAAUGGAAAUAGUUAGUGAAUCAGCAAUACUAUCUCCUCUAAACUCAUCUUCUGUCCCUCAGUUUGGUGAUUGACGAAGUUCACGAGGAGACAAAAAGCCGUUCAGAUAGAAAGCCAGCA